rnacentral:rRNA from 1 species
AGAGAGAGACAUGCGUGCAUAUCAAUAAGCGGAGGAAAAGAAACUAACAAGGAUUCCCCUAGUAACGGCGAGUGAAGCGGGAAGAGCUCAAAUUUGAAAUCUUAAAGGGUUUCCCUUUACGAAUUGUAGUUUAAAGAAGUGUUUUCUGUUGAGGUUUUGGUAAAAGUUCUUUGGAAUAGGACAUCAUAGAGGGUGAGAAUCCCGUAUUUGACCUUUACUUUCAACUUUGUGAUACACUUUCAAAGAGUCGGAUUGUUUGGGAAUGCAGUCCAAAAUGGGUGGUAAAUUUCAUCUAAAGCUAAAUAUUGGCGAGAGACCGAUAGCGAACAAGUACCGUGAGGGAAAGAUGAAAAGAACUUUGAAAAGAGAGUUAAACAGUACGUGAAAUUGUCAAAAGGGAAGCGUUUGACACCAGUGUUGUUUUUCUGAAAAUCAAUUAAAGAACUGUUUAUGCUAAGUUGUUUAGACUUUAUCAGCUAUCUGUUUAGUUUUGAGCUUUUCUUUAAUGCACUUUUCAGUUAACAAGUCAACAUCAAUUUCUUUUGCUGUAAAGAAGCUUGAGGAAGGUGGCUUGAGAUUCGUCUUAAGUGUUUAUAGCCUCUUGCCUAUGCAGUCGGAGAGAUUGAGGUCUGCAGCGUAGAUCCUUCGGGGCUAAAUGCAUUUGUGCUAAGUUAUAGCAUUUUAUAGACAACUUGUUGACUAUGAUUUGUCUUGUAGCUUACUCGCUUAUGUUAUUUUACCUACGCUUAGGAUGUUGAGCGCAUGUCUCUCUCU